UAUUGUCACAGUGUUGUGCAAGGGUUAUUAAUUAGUUUAAUAGAUGUUAUCAAAGCUCACCGAUAGACUUGACAGAGACCAGACAAAGGUUAGGACAAUGUCAGUUAGGUGUUUGUCUUGUAGAGAGACUGAUAUGUGGGUCGGGACAGACAUUAGCAAUGUUAGUUUAGGCGUAGGCUAGAUACUCAGCCUAUAUAGAGUAGAGUUUGGGGCAAUCGGGACACAACGCCAUGUAGUUUUAGCAGGGGCGUGUGUCGUAUGCUAGGCGUUUUCUGGUGAACGACACAUACAGACAUUGGGAGCAAGUCGCCGAGGUUGGCUCGCGAUCUUGGCUCCAAGAUGUGUGAGUUGUUUGCCAGAGACAACAUGUAGGAACUUUAAUUCUUAAGGACCAGGAGUGACAGUCUUGGCGACUGUCUGAGUCUUAGUGACAGUCUGACGGUCAGAGACGGUAGAUCUAUAUAUGGUGUAUCCUUGCCUGCUACGCAAGGGGAUAUCACUCUAGUAUUGAGCGGACUGUGACGUUGGGUUCCAGGAUCCGUGCAGAGACUAGAGAGAGAGAGAGAGAGAGAGAGACAAGAGAAAUGGAGAGUUCAUCGUGACCUACAGCCAAGUAUCAAUAUCUAUGUGAUUAUUAAAUUUUAAUUCUAGAAUCACAUGAGUAUUAUAUGUAAUUAUAGUUGUUAAUUAAAUAUUUAUUUUUCUUAUGAAAAUUUGUGUCCAGAGAUCAUGAUUUAUAUCAUUAUUGAAUAUUGUGGUCUUUAAUCCAUAGUAUUUUGUGAUGCGUGUGUUGUAUCAGUUAAAUUACAUCAGUAAGAAUCAUCCUAGACGUAUAGACAUCAAGAGCUGAUAUCAAGAUCUUGACAAUUGGGGCCUCGUCUAAAGUUUUAUUUUAAUUUUCUACGACACUUUAAUGAUGUCUGGGGGCUAAUGAAUAACUGGGACCUGUUAUUUUUCUUUAAGUGAAAAUACUUUAGUUAUACUUGAUAUAGUAUUGACAUUUAUUUUUUUAUCCAUCAUAGUAUUGAGAAAAUUGUAUUUUGCUUGUAAAGGUUUGGACGAAUAUUCACUACUUAGAAUUAGCAUUAAGUAGAGUUUCUGUUUACACUUGUAAUACCAUGAUUGUAUUUUUCAAGAUUUUUUUUUUUCUACAUUUUGUUUUCUGCCUAGCAUUUGUUGUGGUACAGGUGAAUUGGCUGUUUGGCAGUGGACGUCACACAUGAUCUAUUUUUAGACUGUCACUCCUGAUUCCUGCGCCCAUUGUCCUGGGGCCUUCGUGUAUCCACGGUUUGAGGGUAACGUAGUUAUCUUCAGCGCGUGUUUUUUCAAUGUUUAGGUAAGCUGUAUGAUGUAGUGAGAUAGGUGUAAGUUUUCUUGUUUUUAUUUUUGAUAGGGAGCUUAGGGAUUUCAUAGAGGUGGGAUAGAAAGAGGUGGACAUUAUUUUUAAAGCAUAAUUACUGCACUGGGCAGUGUUACAUUUAUACUGUGCUUAUACUGUGUUUUUUGCAGGCAGACAGGGGCGAGUUAUUGUUUGGAGAAGGUAGAAGGGGGUUGGACCUGUAUGUUCGCGUUGGGCAAACGUAUAGUGUCGUUGUCCUCAGUUAUUUUUUUUUCUUGCUUUUUAGCUUGUUAAGUUUUGUAGAUGGUUAGCCAGGUGAGCAGUACUGUUGGCCAGUUGUUUUUUUUGUUGCCAUUUUGGUGUUUUGAUAGGCGGGAUAGGGGGUUUGAGAGACAGACAAUGGCGUUGGGUCAUGUAGUGUCCACCCCACCCAUGUAUUUUAGUAAUGCCUAUCAAACCUUGUAGUUGUUAAUGGAAGUUUUGGAAUUUCGUUUCCAGUGCCAUGCCAGAGGGCAGGGACAUUUGUUUUUCUUCUCCCUCUUAGUUGAGGUCGAGCGUUGAUUUUUUUUACCUGGUGUGUCCUUGUUGUACGGAUUCAUGGUAGUUAAGUCACAGGGUGACGUAAUGAUUUUUUGUUGUUGCGGCAAGAGUUGUUUUUUUUACAGUGGGUCUCGAGUUUUGUUGGGCCUGGUUUCAGUUUUUUGUAUGCCGUCUAUUUUUUUUGCUUGAACGUGUUGAUGAUAGUUGGCUAUAGCUCUAUAUAGAAUAUCCGACAUUAGGUAUGUCGUGGAUUUUUUUAUUUCAGUGAGAUGUUGCUGUGUUGACAGAU